AUGGUUGCAAUCUGCCAAGAGCUGAUAAGGAAAGAAUCCUGUGGGGACAAUGACAAAAAACUUAAAUCCAUCAAACCCAUGUCAGCACUAGGCAAGAAAACAAAUAGAAUUCCAGACAGUUCAGAACAAAUACUACAAAUCAGAGACCAUACUCCAACCUCCUUUCAAUCUUACACUUUUGAAAGACAACUUAGAAGUACAAAGGACGGUGACUCCAUAGCAGUGCUUACCAUCAGGCUAACAUUACCCAUUACUGAGGAAAUUGAAAGACGAUACAUGAAGUGUCUUCAGGUUUCCACGGAAAUGGAAUUAAAUGAGAAACAUGUGGCACUUUCUGAUGGAUACAGAUCAUCCUGAAAUCACUUCACAUCUGCUGGCUAAAUAGAGAAAUAACUAUAAAUCUUUUCAAAAACAAAGGAAAGAAAAAUGUAGGAAAUACAUCAAGUAAUACCUUUAUGGCACCAUUCCUAUGACUCUAUAAAGAGGGUUAUUUAUAAUGGUGGAAUUAUUUGUCACACAUCAUAUAAAAAAAGAAAAUUAAAAUUAUCGAUGGGUUAUAAUGGUAAACAUGAUCUUGUAAACUCUAAAUAUUUCACCUUACUAGAUGUACACCUUAGUUUUCAUUUUUAGCAACAUUUUAAAAAGUAGAGAUGUAUGAAUAUUCAGCAUGGUUUAAUCUGAGAUCAUUUGAAUAUUUUUAAAACAAUCCUUAGUAAAAAUUUAAAUAAGUUUAUCUUGUCCUCAUGUUUGUGUGUGUGCCUAUAGGGCUAUUCUGAAGUAAUGUUAAUGGUGAAAAAUGUAUGCUAUGGAAUAAAUUCUUUAUAACUGUAGACCUACUACUUCAUGAAAAAUGUGUAUAAAGCACACAGAAUUCAGACGUCUUCCUUCCAAAAUUAGUCCCAGGUUCAUGCUUCCCCCCAUCAUGCUCCAUUUCCAAUUACACACCAUUGAUUUAUUCAAAUGUAAUUAUGUAAGAAUUUUUAUUUUUAAACUUAACAAAAAUACAUUUUUCAUCACUUCAGGAAAUAAUAUAUGUAUUUAUGAGAGUUAAAAAGACAAUGUUUUAUCGAUAUAUAACUCGUUUCAUGUUUCAAGUGUAAAGGCAAAGUGUAUUAUCACAUAUAAAUAUUUUCAUGUGAAAAUACAAAAAUAAACUCUCAUGCAUAUUCAUAUAAAAUAAAACAAGAGUAUGACCACAAAAAUGACCUGUGUUGGCAUUAUUUUCAUCAUAAUCUGCAUUCUUGUUUCUCUUAACCCUUAGAAAAGAACUAUCAAUGUUUUUUUGUUUUUUUUUUGAGAUGGAGUUUCGCUUUUGUUACCCAGGCUGGAGUGCAAUGGUGUGAUCUCAGCUCACCGCAACCUCCGCCUCCUGGGUUCAGGCAAUUCUCCUGCCUCAGCCUCCUGAGUAGCUGGGAUUACAGGCAUGCGCCACCAUGCCCAGCUAAUUUUUUGUAUUUUUAGUAGAGACGGGUUUCACCAUGUUGACCAGGAUGGUCUCGAUCUCUUGACAUUGUGAUCCACCCGCCUCGGCCUCCCAAAGUGCUGGGAUUACAGGCGGGAGCCACCGCACCUGGCCUACUAUCAAUGUUUUAAUAAGAUUAAAAAGAUUAAGUUAGAAAGGAAAGUGUAAAAGUGCUUAUUUUAUUCCACUCAAACUCCAUCCACCACAGACCUGGGAGGUGGUCAUGCCUAUGAGGGCAGAAGGGCUGUGAGAGUUUUCAUCUAGCAGCCUAGUCUGGUAAACUGAAAU
ensembl:lncRNA